rnacentral:pre_miRNA from 1 species
GAUUUUUUCAGAAACCGUCUUAGAAUGUUUACAAUCUAAGACGAUUCUUCAAAGAACUGUCUAAGAGUGUUUGUUUUUUUAAAAAAUUAAAAUAAAUUUAGAAUUCUAAGAUGAUUUUUCCAAAAAUCGUUUUAAAAUGUAGACAUUCUAAGACGGUUUUUCAAAAAAUC